AUUGAACGCUGGCGGCAUGCCUAACACAUGCAAGUCGAACGGGGGUAGCAAUACCCUAGUGGCGGACGGGUGAGGAAUACGUAGGAAUUUGCCCUUAAGUGGGGGAUAGCCCGGGGAAACCCGGAUUAAUACCGCAUGACCCCGUGAGAGCAAAGCAGGGGAUCGCAAGACCUUGCGCUUUUGGAGAAGCCUACGUCGGAUUAGCUAGUUGGUAGGGUAAUGGCCUACCAAGGAAACGAUCCGUAACUGGUCUGAGAGGAUGAUCAGUCACACCGGAACUGAGACACGGUCCGGAGUCCUACGGGAGGCAGCAGUGGGGAAUAUUGGACAAUGGGCGAAAGCCUGAUCCAGCAAUGCCGCGUGUGUGAAGAAGGCCUUCGGGUUGUAAAGCACUUUAGGUUGGGAAGAAAAAACUCGGGCUAAUACCCUGAGUCUUGACGGUACCGACAGAAUAAGCACCGGCUAACUCUGUGCCAGCAGCCGCCGUAAAAC
rnacentral:rRNA from 1 species